AGAGUUUGAUCAUGGCUCAGGAUGAACGCUGGCGGCGUGCUUAACACAUGCAAGUCGAACGCUGAAGCCCAGCUUGCUGGGUGGAUGAGUGGCGAACGGGUGAGUAACACGUGAGUAACCUGCCCUUAACUCUGGGAUAAGCCUGGGAAACUGGGUCUAAUACCGGAUACGACCAGUCACCGUAUGGUGUGCUGGUGGAAAACGUUUGUAGUGGUUUUGGAUGGACUCGCGGCCUAUCAGCUUGUUGGUGAGGUAAUGGCUCACCAAGGCGACGACGGGUAGCCGGCCUGAGAGGGUGACCGGCCACACUGGGACUGAGACACGGCCCAGACUCCUACGGGAGGCAGCAGUGGGGAAUAUUGCACAAUGGGCGCAAGCCUGAUGCAGCGACGCCGCGUGAGGGAUGACGGCCUUCGGGUUGUAAACCUCUUUCAGUAGGGAAGAAGCGAAAGUGACGGUACCUGCAGAAGAAGCGCCGGCUAACUACGUGCCAGCAGCCGCGGUAAUAC
rnacentral:rRNA from 1 species